rnacentral:rRNA from 1 species
CCAAGGAGUCUAACAUGUUCGCGAGUCAUUGGGACCGCAAAACCUAAAGGCGAAAUGAAAGUGAAGGUCGACCUUGCGUCGACUGAGGGAGGAUGGGUUGCGUUACGAUGCAGCCCCGCACUCCCGGGGCGUCUCGUACUCAUUGCGAGUAGAGGCGCACCCAGAGCGUACACGUUGGGACCCGAAAGAUGGUGAACUAUGCCUGGCCAGGACGAAGUCAGGGGAAACCCUGAUGGAGGUCCGUAGCGAUUCUGACGUGCAAAUCGAUCGUAGGAGCUGGGUAUAGGGGCGAAAGACUAAUCGAACCAUCUAGUAGCUGGUUCCCUCCGAAGUUUCCCUCAGGAUAGCUGGCACUCGCGUGAAGCGAGUCUCAUCUGGUAAAGCGAAUGAUUAGAGGCCUUGGGGCCGAAACGACCUCAACCUAUUCUCAAACUUUAAAUGGGUGAGAUCUCUGGCUUGCUUGAACAGUGAAGCCACGAGAUUUUUCGGAUCAGAGUGCCAAGUGGGCCAAUUUU